rnacentral:misc_RNA from 1 species
AAAAAAAACCCAAGUCCUGGGCUCUUUUUAUUGGCUAUGGAUGGAAAAGCCUUCAAGAAUUCUUGUCCUACCUUCACAGAUGAUAUUAUGGCAUAGGCCAAGGCUUUUGUGAGGGGUGCUCAACAUUGGGAGCUAGACUAAUUCUCAAAUUUUUAAACUGUUGUAGAGCGUGAGGCGGUGAGUAAAUUAGAACAAAGAUUUAAGGCUCAAAUAAGUUGAGCCAUUCAU